rnacentral:rRNA from 1 species
CCCUACGGGAGGCAGCAGUGAGGAAUAUUGGUCAAUGGGCGGAAGCCUGAGCCAGCCAAGUCGCGUGAGGGAAUAAGGCCCUACGGGUCGUAAACCUCUUUUGCCGGGGAGCAAGGGCGGGGACGUGUCCCGGCCCGGAGAGUACCCGGAGAAAAAGUAUCGGCUAACUCCGUGCCAGCAGCCGCGGUAAUACGGAGGAUGCGAGCGUUAUCCGGAUUUACUGGGUGUAAAGGGCGUGCCGCCGGGAAGACACGUCAGAUGUGAAAUCCCGCGGCUCAACCGCGGAACUGCAUUUGAAACUGUUU